AAAGCUAAUGAAAAUCUGAGAAGUAUUAUUCUGUGUGUUUCUGUUCUGUCUGUGCUGCGUCUUUAACCUUCCAUCGUCUGAGCAGUGUGCUUCCCUGUCGGCGUUCGGUGGUGAGCUGGUGGAACCCUAGGAGUGUGCUGCGUCUUUAACCAAAGUUUAGGUUACCGCUGUUUAAAACUGCUGCCGAGGCUACCACUGUUGAAGGUUCUCUGCUGUCGAAGGUUCACCGUCGUCGAAGGCUCGCUGCUGUCGAAGUCUCGCCGCUAUCGAAGGCUUUGCCGCACUCUGCGUCGCCGAGGUUCUACCACCACCUACGAAGAUUUUGAGAACACUUAUCUUUAGCUAGAAAAAAGAAGCAAAUCUGUAACCCUAAGACAUCUGGUAACGAUUGCUUGUACGUGGAGAGAGCAUCUGGGGUUCUUCCAUCAUCAGUGGCCAAGUGCUACGGUUGAAGCUUACAAGUUUCUGCAAUGGAGAAUCAGAAUACAAAG